GUGAUAGCUGUCCCCCAAACCUUCCAAUGGCUGACUCCUCAUCAUUCAGAUCUCAGCUCCAGUGUUCCAACGCCAGAGGACCCUCCAUGAUAUCCACAUCUAACACACCCCGCAACCCCUUGGCCCAGCACGUGCCAUCUCACUCCUGAGAUAUUUCCAGAGCCCACACCUGUGCGGGGCGCUGCCCUGGGCCCUGGUCAGAGAGGAUGGUGAGCCCAGUCGUGUCAUAGGAUCAUUCAUGGACUGCAGGUUAAGAAACCCUGCUGUAAAUAAUUCCCCUCUCUUCCUAGAGGGACAGAAUGGUAAGUGGUACUUUUCAUGUGAUCUCAGAGUUCUGCCUCUAAGAACAUCACCUACGUAGGACCUGCUAAGAAACUGGGAUGCAACCAUUUUCAGUCCUUCACUCAUCAGUCACUCAAGGGUAGAUAAACAGAUUGGAAGGAGAGGAGAAAGUGUGAGCUGCAGAGCGACACUGACGUGGGCCGUGGGCUUGAAUCCUGGCUUCCCCACUUUCUACCUCUGGGAACUUUAUUAAAUCAAUUAUUCUCUCUAAACUUUAAUUUUCUUACCUGAAAAAAAUGAGAGUAAUCAUUCCCCUCAGUGAGACUGAACAUUUUUAAAUUACUAAAAUUGAUGCCGUGUUUAUGACUAAAAUUGACCAAAGAAUGUUUUAUUAUCU
rnacentral:lncRNA from 1 species